CUUUCAGUCUCUUCUUGAAGUAUCCACUCUUCGAAAACAAUGGGCACUGCAAAUCAAAAAACAGAUGAGAACUAGAAUAUUGAAGGCCCUGUUUCCAACCCGAACGCAGACCGACACUGGCAGACCAGUCUCCUGGCUCCUGCAAAAACAUCCACAGAAAAAACCAGGGCACUAACAUUUGGAGAAGAGAAAGGACUUGAGGCCACUGAACUACAUUUUGGGCUUGCAACUUCCAUAGCUAUAGCUCAUGGAAAGAACUCAAAAGACUAGAGUUACUAAAAAGGGAUCGAUGCGAGGAGUAGAAGGGGUUCUAGAAACCGAAAAACCAGUGGGAAUUGAAGAGAAUGAAGGAGAAAGCAGAGGUGGUUUGAGAAUACAAGUGCAGUAUUUUUCUAGUGAUUAGUCAAAUGCACACGAGUUGCCUAAAAAUCCACAUUUUAAGGCUUCAAAAACGUUCUCGACUGUCGAGAAGUUGAAUUCUGAUGCAAAUUUUCUUCGCCUCGGACAUUUGAAAAUGGUGAGCUCUUCAAACUCUCUUUCAUGUGAUUCUUGUAUGCCAGGCUUUUUCCACUAGUACAGUAUUUAUAACAACAAAAAUAAAUUAAAA